rnacentral:lncRNA from 1 species
AAUGACUGACAGAAGAAGAGGAAAACCAACAACAAAACACUUGUGGAGUAGAGCAGAGUGUAGCUGGAGCUUUCAACAAAAAAAAAAAAUAUAAAACGAGAAGAGACGUGUGAGACGCACAACGUCACAACUUUUAUACAGGCAGGGGGAGGGCAGAGGCAGGGGCCGAGUGAGGCAGAAGCAGAGUGUGAAUGAGAGAAUGUAAAAAGAACAACAAAAGCUGCGGGACAGGGUGGGUUUAGCCACUGGAUAUUAAUUUCUCCAUUGUUGCUAUAAUAAUGAUCCGAUCGGAUAAAAAUUUGGUGAUCUGAUAGAUAUGUACUGUAGGUUUCGGAGGUUUUUGCCCUUUUGCGGAGGCGGAAGGGGGCGGGGCUAAUUUUUGAAAUACACUGGUUUCAGUGUGAGCAUACAGCAGUCCGGAGCCAACAUUUGGUGGCGGUUGUAAGCAUAUAUUACAUUUUUUGUUGUUUCAAAAUAACAUUAAAUUUAUCAAUAUUGCAGAAAAGAAGAGAACAACAGGUGGCAGGGGGAAAUAGUCAUCGGAGAUGGAGAGCCUGCUGAUAGAUCUCUGGCAGGAGAAUAUUGAAGAUCUGCGUGGAGCCAUGAAGGAGGCUGGGCUCGCGAUUGGAUGGGGAGAUGUUCGAGUGAAAGUCGAAAAUUUGCAAACAAUACGGUGGAGUACCAGCCUUUAUAAUUGUGAUGGUAGACUGCCUCAGCUCCUGGUGGUUUUUUUUCGAUUUGACAUCCAUCUACAAUAAAGGGAAACCCAAUUUACAUAUGUGUGUGCAUAUCUAUAGAUGUAUAAUGAAUUGUUCUAUUGCUUUCUUACCAAUUGCACCUAGACACUGUGGAAAUCCAAUCUGUUCGAAUCCUUGGACACAUUCGUCAAGUCGUUUCACAUCUUUCAAAAAAAUCCAAAGUUCCCCUUGGAGGGACUCAGUGUGAAGAGCCUAUUCUGAAUUAAAUUCAAGUUGUUUCAGUUAUAAUAGUCUUUUCCGAUGUUAACUAUCGCAUUUUUAUUUGUCCAUUUCGAUGAAUUUAAAAAGGUGAGUACUUCUAGAAUCUAGAUCUCAAUUGGAAAAAUGUUUCCCAUAUGAUCUAGAGUUGAUGUUUGGAGUAUGCUGAGUUUUUUUAAUUCGUUGGCUGGUCAAAGCAGAUUACUAUGGGUUCCUAGCGGUAUUUAGCUUACACAUUCAUUUUGAUUAGAAAAAGAUUCGCCGUAAUAAAAUAUACAUUUUGCUUGGAGUUAAGAUGUACAUAUAUCUUCAAACUAUCUCUCUGUACUCUUGUUGCUUAUGCUUGACCAACAUCGUCAUUCUAUGCUUCUUCAUUCGCAUUUUCUGCUUGUUCUGCAAUGAUGUGGAAAAUGAAUAUCGUAAUUUCUAAAGUAACAUUUAUGUUGCGCAUACUCAGUUAUUUGCAAUAUGAAUGAGAAAGCGUUCUCAAGGUUAUGGAACUCUUCCAUGCGUGCUCAUAGAGAUAAAGUUUUGUUGAAUGUGAUACAUCGCAUAUUUAUAUACAUAUGUACAAUGUAUGACAUGUUCUUCGGUUCUUUAUAUUGUAUUAAACAAGCACAACGUUAAAAAACUAACUUAUCUGUCUCCUUUACGCUCAACAUAAGAUACUUCCGUUACAUCUACUAAGGCGUAUGAAAAAAACGAGAAGGGACGUGUGAGACGCUUCUUACGCGUCACAACUUUUAUACCCGGAACUCAGUACAACAUCUGCACCUUAACGAUGUUUUGUCAAAUUUUAAAUCUUUUCUUCAUCUGUCAUCUACAUCUACAACACUUCUCACACCAACACGCUCCGGUAGCUCGCCGCCCUUCCCUAGACCCUCACACUGCAGAAGGCAGAGGCACCGUCCGCACACAAAAAAAAAAAAAACAAAUAAAAGCUGCGGGACGGGGUGGGUUAAAAGUCGGCAGAGGCAUCGGCAGGGGGAGGGCAGAGGCAGGGGCCGAGUGAAGCAGAAGCAGAGUGUGAAUGAGAGAAUGUAAAAAGAACAACAAAAGCUGCGGGACAGGGUGGGUUUAGCCACUGCAAAUUAAUUUAUUCAUUGUGGCUAUAAUAAUGAUCCAAUCGGAUCCCAAUUUGGUGUUUUCUUUUAUCUUCAAACUGUAGGUUUAGGAGGUUUUCGUAUAUAUAUUCUUGAUCAAAAUCAAUAGCCGAGUCGAUAGAGCCAUGUCUGUCUGUCCGUCUUGUUUGUCGGCUAGUUCUCAGAGACUAUAAGAACUAGAGUUACCAAAAAAGGACCAAGUCCAGACAGCUGUAUGCUCACACUGAAACCAGUGUAUUUCAAAAAUUAGCCCCGCCCCCGAAAAAUAGCGAAAACCUCCCAAACCUACAAUUUUGAAGAUAAAAGAAAACUAAAAACGCCAUUCCAUAGGGAACGGCCAUAUCUAUCAGAUCACCAAAUUGGGAUCCGAAUUUUGGAUCAUUAUUAUAGCCACAAUGAAUAAAUUAAUUUUGUAGUUUAAAGAGCAUUGACAAAAACUGACUAACUAAAGAUGAAACUAUUACAAUUCAAAUGAAAAUGAUUUAAUAUAUUGCUUAGUUAAACAAGUACUAAGCGAAAUGCAAUUGUACGUUGGAGCGAUUCCAAUAAAAUUACUUUUAACCAAACAAUCAUUCAAUCAGUCAAUCAAAUAUAUUUUUUAAUGUUCUAAAAUGUUUUAAUGGAUCUUUUAUUAUAAUUAAUCGUUUAAAUACCUUUUUUUUAUAAUAAAUACGACGUAAAUGGGUUCCAUUUUUUAUGGGGGCGGGAGGUAGGCGGGGUCCAUUUGACUACAUUUUUUUCGAUAUUCAACUUUAGUCUAACUAACAUUCAUGCCAAUUUGUAGAGCUUUAGCUGUAUUUUUUUGAUUAAUGCCAAAAAAACGGGCUGUUUACCCAUGGAGCAGUGGUCUGGUCUGAAACUACUUCAAAGUAAACCGACACGCAAACAAAACAAAUCGCAUCGAAUUUUCAAUGUCGUUGAUAAAAAAAACUUUUACACCUGGUACUCAGUAGUAAGCUAAAUUUUACAUUUCAUAUUUGUCUAGCUCGCCCCUCUCCCCUUGCAUGGUAGAAUUACUAAUAGGUAACGUCAUCAGCUGAGUGGAGGAUCACCAGCUUAUUCACCACGCUCUCUCAACUCUCAGAGAGGCAAGCGCUAGAGAGAGAUAGCAAGCGUUUUACGUUUUGCAUUCUUCGUUUUUAUUGUUUCUGCUGACAGCAAAGAAAAGAUGUUCAAUAAAAAAUAAAACGAAAUAGUUCAAAACAAAUAAUAACAUAGGCAUAGCAAACAAUAUGCUGCAGACAUGUUUAUUUCUAAAAAUACAAAUAAAACGUCCAAAAUAAAAUAGUAGUUGCAUGCAUAUUUCAUUGUCUUCCGCUACGUCUUCAUUCGUAAACAAUGAAGAAAAAGAAGAAGACAAUGAAAAAAAUCGUGCGCUACACAACCUCUUUCGUCAACGUUUGGCAAACGACUGACAAGCUGGUAUUCCUCGAAUGAGGAGCACCGUGGCGACAACGUCACCUAUUAGUAAUUUCACCAUGUCCCCUAGAGCCACACACUGCACGAAGCAGAGUGUGAAAUGAGAGAAUGUGAAACAACAACAAAAAACUGCUGGAUGGGGUGUGAGUAGCCACUGCAAAUUAAUUUCUUCAUUCUGGCUUUAACAUUGAUUCACUUCGGUGAUCUGAUAGAUAUGGUUCUUUCCUACGGAAUGGCAUUUUAGUUUUCUUUUAUCUUUAAAAUUGUGGAUACAGCAGAUUUUCGCCUUUGCGGGCGGAGGGGGCGUGACGAAAUACACUUGCAGCAGUGUGAGCAUACAGCCAUCUAAAUGCGACAUUUGGUGGCUCAGACAGACCUACAUGGCUAUAUAGACUCGGCUAUUGAUGCUGAUCAAGAAUAUAUAUACUUUAUGGGGUCGGAAACGUUUCCUUCUGUGCGUUACAUACAACCGUUAUUCACACAAAUACAAUAUAACCUAUUUACUNUGCACUCUUCGUUUUUAUUGUUUCUGCUGACAGCAAAGAAAAGAUGUUCAAUAAAAAAUAAAACGAAAUAGUUCAAAACAAAUAAUAACAUAGGCAUAGCAAACAAUAUGCUGCAGACAUGUUUAUUUCUAAAAAUACAAAUAAAACGUCCAAAAUAAAAUAGUAGUUGCAUGCAUAUUUCAUUGUCUUCCGCUACGUCUUCAUUCGUAAACAAUGAAGAAAAAGAAGAAGACAAUGAAAAAAAUCGUGCGCUACACAACCUCUUUCGUCAACGUUUGGCAAACGACUGACAAGCUGGUAUUCCUCGAAUGAGGAGCACCGUGGCGACAACGUCACCUAUUAGUAAUUUCACCAUGUCCCCUAGAGCCACACACUGCACGAAGCAGAGUGUGAAAUGAGAGAAUGUGAAACAACAAAAAAAAACUGCUGGAUGGGGUGUGAGUAGCCACUGCAAAUUAAUUUCUUCAUUCUGGCUUUAACAUUGAUUCACUUCGGUGAUCUGAUAGAUAUGGUUCUUUCCUACAGAAUGGCAUUUUAGUUUUCUUUUAUCUUUAAAAUUGUGGAUACAGCAGAUUUUCGCCUUUGCGGGGCGGAGGGGGCGUGACGAAAUACACUUGCAGCAGUGUGAGCAUACAGCCAUCUAAAUGCGACAUUUGGUGGCUCAGACAGACCUACAUGGCUAUAUAGACUCGGCUAUUGAUGCUGAUCAAGAAUAUAUAUACUUUAUGGGGUUGGAGACGCUUCCUUCUGUGUGUUACAUACAUCCACCUUUGUGCACAAAUACAAUAUACCCUAUUUACCCUUCGAGUACUGGGUAUAAAAAGGACGGAGAGCACGGAAGCAGUCCAGGCUUCCAUUUAAUGCAGCGGAUACAUGAUCGGACUGUCUGACUGCAUACCUCCUGCUCGUGAGAAUGCAGGUGAUGGACAUACAUAUAUAGCAUACAAAGCUACGCACGUAUUACGAGCGCUUUGUCAAAAGCAACGGAAACUUGGCAUCGUAUGAUAUAGGAGCUCAAGUUUUAGCUUUACACCAGUGUCUUAAUGGGUGAAUGGGUUCAACCUCUGAAGACUAGGACCAACUCUAGAUCCUCUUACAUGUUCUUUUCAAAUGUAAUACUUGGUCUCUUACAUGUUCUUAUAAAUCGGAACAUAUAACACAACACUUUAAUAGCCUUUUCACACUGGGCACCAUCAACCAUCCAUUUCUGGGAUGGUCCGAAAAUGUUCCAGUUAUUACAGUUCCUAAUUUGCACGCGAUAUUUAUUCGGCUAUUUUCAAAUACAACCAUAAAUAUUUGGCAUUCACAACGAAAAAAUUAUAUUCAUUGGGAAAUUGUAACAAUGACUGACAGAAGAAGAGGAAAACCAACAACAAAACACUUGUGAAGUAGAGCAGAGUGUAGCUGGAGCUUUCAAAAAAAAAAAAUAUAAAACGAGAAGUGACGUGUGAGACGCACAACGUCACAACUUUUAUACAGGCAGGGGGAGGGCAGAGGCAGGGGCCGAGUGAGGCAGAAGCCGAGUGUGAAUGAGAGAAUGUAAAAAGAACAACAAAAGCUGCGGGACAGGGUGGGUUUAGCCACUGGAUAUUAAUUUCUCCAUUGUUGCUAUAAUAAUGAUCCGAUCGGAUAACAAUUUGGUGAUCUGAUAGAUAUGUACUGUAGGUUUGGGAGGUUUUUGCCCUUUUGCGGAGGCGGAAGGGGGCGGGGCUAAUUUUUGAAAUACACUGGUUUCAGUGUGAGCAUACAGCAGUCCGGAGCCAACAUUUGGUGGCUCUAUCUCUUAUAGUUUUUGAGAACUAACCGACAAACAAGACGGACGGACGGACGGACGGACAGACGGACAGACAGGCAUGGCUCUAUCGACUCGGCUAUUGAUACUAGUCGGAAACGUUUCCUUCUGUGCGUUACAUACAACCGUUAUUCACACAAUUACAAUAUACCCUAUUUAUUCUUCGAGUACCGGGUAUAAAAAAUGGAACAAGGAUCGGCAAAUAGCGGUUGUAAGCAUAUAUUACAUUUUUUGUUGUUUCAAAAUAACAUUAAAUUUAUCAAUAUUGCAGAAAAGAAGAGAACAACAGGUGGCAGGGGGAAAUAGUCAUCGGAGAUGGAGAGCCUGCUGAUAGAUCUCUGGCAGGAGAAUAUUGAAGAUCUGCGUGGAGCCAUGAAGGAGGCUGGGCUCGCGAUUGGAUGGGGAGAUGUUCGAGUGAAAGUCGAAAAUUUGCAAACAAUACGGUGGAGUACCAGCCUUUAUAAUUGUGAUGGUAGACUGCCUCAGCUCCUGGUGGUUUUUUUUCGAUUUGACAUCCAUCUACAAUAAAGGGAAAACCAAUUUACAUAUUUAUGUGCAUAUCUAUAGAUGUAUAAUGAAUUGUUCUAUUGCUUUCUUACCAAUUGCACCUAGACACUGUGGAAAUCCAAUCUCUUCGAAUCCUUGGACAUUCGUCAAGUCGCUUCACAUCUUUCAAAAAAAUCCAAAGUUCCCCUUGGAGGGGCUCAGUGUGAAGAGCCUAUUCUGAAUUAAAUUCAAGUUGUUUCAGUUAUAAUAGUCUUU